AAAGUGCGUGUGUGCCUUUUUUACCCAUUGUUUUGUGGUGUGUGUGUGGUGUGAGCGUGAUGUUUUGUCUCGAGGAAACAUAGGUGAGGCACAAAGUAAGCCCACCCCUCUAGGAACUAUGUUGAAAAUUUUCAAAAAAAAAAAAAAAGGUCGGGGGGGCGAUUUAAGAGAGACUAUGGAGUACUAUGACACAAGGAAAACUUAAAAACUUUGUGUAAGAUAGACUGUCCAGCAUUAGAGGUAGGUUGGCCUUUAGAAGGAAGCCUGGACAGGUCCCCUGUUUCAAAGGUAUGGCACAAGGUUCCCUGUAAGCCAGGGAACCCAGACCAGCUCCCGUACAUAGACACUUGGUUACAGCUGGUUUUAGACCCCCUGCCCCCAACACACAGUGGUUGAGAGAACAGCAGCAUAAAUGGCUGGCAGAGGCAAUGAAAGAGCAGCAGAGAGAGAGAAAGGAAAGAGACAGAGAGGAAGAGAUAGACAAAGAAGGAGUCAAGGAGAGAGAGAGAGAGAGGCAGAGAGAGAGAGAAAGAGACAGAGGCAAAAGGAAAGUCAAAGAGAGAGAGAGACAAAGUCAAAAAGAGAAAGAAAGAAAGGUGAUUUAACAUUAACCACUGAAAAUUCCCUUAACCCAGCAGGUUUCCUAACAGGGGAUCUAAAUCUUAAUUACCAUACAAAGGUCUGACCAGACCUAGGAGGAACUCCCUUCCGGACAGGACGAUUGAUGGUUCCUCUCAGGUAAUUGAUAAAAAAAAAAAAAGCCAUCUAUACCAAUUCUAAUUUGGACAAAACAAGGUCUUAUUAAUAUCAAAGGAUAAAUAAAAUCCCAAAUUUACAAGGUUUUCAACAAAAGUAAAGUUUGCUAAAAGUUAACAGUGUAACGUGUAUUAUAGUAACUUCUAAUCUUGUGGCCUUAGACAGUCUAGUCCACAGACAUAAAAAAAAAGUUCACUUUAGAAAAGAAUGGUUAUCAUCUUCGGAAAAAAAAAAAAAAGAAAAAAAUAAAAAAGGGGAGGCAGAGUUUACAUAAAAAGAGUAUUAUAUAAUAAAUUCUUGUCCUGAAAUAAAUUAACUGGUUAUUUAAAGAAAGAAAUAUUUGUAAUAAGUCAGAAAGUUGAGGCAUGUCAAAAAAAUUGCCUGUAAAUAAAAUCUUACCUUCUAGCCAAAAUUAAAAAUUAGAUAAAUAUGUCUACAAGGUUUUAUUAAAAUUAAGUUUAACAUUAGUAACACACUAAUAUAAAGAUAAAAUUUAGCUUAUCUGGUAUAAAAAUCAUACGAGAAGCAUUGUUAAAUGUAAAAUAGUAUUUGGCUUUCUUUAGUCUAAAAACUAAUAAAAAUAGGUGCUAAAGGAAAUCUUUCAGUAAAAAGGCACUAAGGACUAUAAAGUCCACCACCAAGGUCCCCACAUUUAAAACAAACGGUCAAUUUCUUAGAAAUUAUAUACUUAGUUUAUCUUCCACUUUCUUUUCUCUCAAAAACUAAAAGUCUUUUAGCACAUGUACCACCCCUAGAAUUUCCAGUAAACCAGCACCAGCCUGAAGAUCACGUUCUCAUCAAAAGGUAGAAAGAAGAAAAACUCGAGCCAGCCUGGGAAGGACCUUACCUUGUGCUGCUAACCACCAAGACCGCUGUUCACACAGCAAAGAAAAAAAAAAAAAGAAUGGACUUAUUACACCCGAGUCAAGAAAACGCCACCCCCUCCAGAGUUGUAGGCCAUAGUCCCAGGGGAAAACCCUACCAAACUAAAGCUAAGAAAAAUUUAACUCUUUUCAUCUAUUCUAUUACUCUUUUUUCUUUCCUUGUUCUGUUGCUAACCAUCUAGUUAUUAACAUAACCAAGUCAAUUUCGCCGCCUCAAACUACUGCAUUUAAUGUUUGCCUUGUUAUACCCUGUGAGGACUUGCCUAGUCAAAGACAGCUCUCUACUUCAGAAACUUACAUCUGUCCCUCCUGACUCUCCUCAGACUGGGCGUUAGUAAACUAGGACCAUUUAAUCCAGGGAGAUUUCAAUAAAGACCCCAGUGCCAACCAGGAAUCUUGCCCCCCGAUGUAGAGCUUUCAUGCCACAGUUAGUCCAACGUUCUGUAGACCACUAAAGAGCAAGGAUGGACUGCCCCAACCAGUUUUUGUAAUUUCCUAAAACCAUACAUUCAUUUUACUAGAAGAUCAUAGAAGUUAAAGACUUAAAACAAACUUUAGCAAUUAAGACAGGAUACCAAGAUGCAAAUGGCUGGUUAAAAUAGAUCAAACAUUCCACCUGCACGUUAAACAAAAGCAAUUGUUAUGCUUGUGCACAUGGCAGGCCAGAGGCCCUGAUUGUCCCCCUUCCACUAAGGUGGUCCUCCAGUCGACCAGGCAUAGGCUGCAUAGUAGCUCUUUUCCAGGAUUCUACAGCCUGGAGUAAUAAGUCAUGCCAAGUUCUCUCUGCUAUAUCCCGAAGUCCGGCACCCUGCGGGUCAGCCCCCGAGGGCCAUCCAGCCUCCGUCUCCCAACACUAAGUUCACUUUGUGUCUCUUAUGACAACGAGGAAACUUAGUGUUCCUUAGAGACCUGAAAGGAUGCAGUGAGCUUAAGAAUUUUCAAGAGCUUAUCAGUCAGUCAGCCCUUGUUCAUCCCUGAGUGGAUGUGUAGUAGUAUCAAUGGUAGACCUUUACUGGGCACUCUGCCGAAUAACUGGAGUAGCACUUGUAUUUUAGUCCAGUUGGCUAUCCCUUUCACCCUGGCAUUUCAUCAACCAGAAGGAAAAAAAAAUAAGACAUCGUAAAGCGAGAGAAGCCCCUUAUAAGUCUUUCGACUCUCAUGUCUAUUUAGACGCAAUUGGAGUCUCACGAGGAAUACCAGAUCAAUUUAAAGCUUGAAAUCAAAUAGCUGCAGGAUUUAAGUCAAUAUUUUAGUAGGUGACAGUUAAUAAAAAUAUAGAUUAGAUAAACUACAUCUAUUACAACCAACAGCAACAAGGUUUUCAUGAGUUAAAAGAAAAACUCAUGUCGGCCCCAGCCCUGAGGCUACCUGACCUGACAAAACUCUUUACAAUCUAUGUGUCAGAAAGAGAAAAAAUAGCAGUUAGAGUUUUAACCCAGACUGUAAGGCCCUGGCCAAGGCCAGUGGCCUAUCUCUCAAAACAACUAGACAAGGUUUCCAAAGGCUGGCCCCCAGGUCUAAAGGCCCUAGCAGCAACGACCCUGUUAGCACAAGAAGCAGAUAAACUAACACUUAGGCAAAACCUAAAUAUAAAGGCCCCCCCAUGUAGUAACUUUAAUGACUACCAAAAGACAUCAUUAGUUAACAAAUGCUAGAUUAACCAAGUACCAAAGCUUGCUAUGUGAAAAUCCCCACAUAACCAUUGAAGUUUGCAACACCCUAAGCCCCACCACCUUGCUCCUGGUAUCAGAGAGCCCAGUUGAACAUAACUGUGUAGAGGUGUUAGACUCAGUUUAUUCUAGCAGGCCCAACCUCCAGAGACCAUCCUUAAACAUCAGUAGACUGUGAGUGGUACAUGGACAGGAGCAGCUUCACCGACCCCUGCAAAAUGACUCUGAAGAAGAUGAGAAGCCCUGCUCCAGUCACACCCAGAAGCUGACUGGUCCACGCACGGCCGAAGCAUAAGAAAACUCAUCGCAGGACUCAUUUUCCUUAAAAUUUGGACUUGUACAGUAAAGACUUCAACUGUCCUUCCUCAGACUGAAGCCUGUUCCCAGUGUAUACAUCAAGUCACUGAGGCACAGGUAUCUCACACUCGGUCAAUCAUCAGACUCGCCUGAGGUUUCAAAUCACCCUUGAGCACAGGUUCAUCCCCAUCCGAUGACAUCCAAAUCCCUGGCGGUGACUCCCAGUCAGCAGCAUGUCCUCAGAGCAUCCCAGGAACUUCCAACAAGCAAUCAGAGCCCCUGAAAUAUGGUGGAGACAGCAAAUUGGUGGGACUGAGGAGCAAGAAGACAAUUACAACAACAAUAUUAAUUUUUUCUUAAAGAUAACCAGAAAUUGGUCGGGUGCAGUGGUUCAUGCCUGUAAUCCCAGCACUUUGGGAGGCCGAUGUGGGCAGAUCACCUGAGGUCAGGAGUUCAAGACCAGCCUGGCCAACCUGUCUCUACUAAAAAUACAAAAAUUAGCCAUGUGUGGUGAUGGACGCCUGUAAUCCCAGCUACUUGGGAGGCUGAGGCAGGAGAAUCACUUGAACCCGGGAGGCAGAGGUUGCAAUAAGCCCAGAUCACGCCACUGCACUGCAGCCUGGGCAACAGAGCAAGACUCCGUCUCAAAAAAAAAGAGAACCAGAAAUUAUUCAACAUCCGAGCAGCUGCUGUGCUUCUUCUCCCAGCCAUGGUGAAGCUCAGAAAUGAUGGCGUCUCCUUCUAGUGGCUGCUAGUGGAUUACAAGGGGUUUCAGGGGGUCCAUGCACAGUCUUGUAAGAUGGGCAGAGACAGCGGCCCGGAGCCAGGCACAGCAACAGGUCCCGAGUGCAGGGCGAAUGCCUGCCAGUGGGGUUUGUCUGUUUCUUUUUCAUUCUUUUGCUGAAUUUAUCUUUUGUGAACAAAUCACAUAGUAAAUGCUGAUAGUUUAAAAUAUAUAUGUGUGCGUGUGUGGUUAAUAAAUUUUCAAAAGUUAAAUUGUCAAAUAGUAUUGUCUUUAUUAAGUACAACUAGUUUGUUCAUAUAAAAAGUAAUCGUAACGUUUUCC
rnacentral:lncRNA from 1 species